GUCGAGAAUAAUUCACAAUGGGGGCAACCCUGAUGGUGCAACGCCGCGUGGAGGAUGAAGGUCUUCGGAUUGUAAACUCCUGUCAUCCGGGAGCAAGACCUGGCCGUGAAUAGCGGACAGGGUUGAUAGUACCGGAAGAGGAAGGGACGGCUAACUUCGUGCCAGCAGCCGCGGUAAUACGAAGGUCCCGAGCGUUGUUCGGAAUCACUGGGCGUAAAGGGAGCGUAGGCGGGGCGGUAAGUCAGAUGUGAAAUCCUAGGGCUCAACCCUGGAACUGCAUCCGAGACUGCUGUGCUUGAGCAAUGGAGAGGUAGCCGGAAUUCUCGGUGUAGCAGUGAAAUGCGUAGAUCUCGAGAGGAACACUCGUGGCGAAAGCGGGCUACUGGACAUUUGCUGACGCUGAGGCUCGAAGGCCGGGGGAGCGAAAGGGAUUAGAUACCCUUGUAGUCC
rnacentral:rRNA from 1 species